rnacentral:rRNA from 1 species
CAGUCGCCGCGGUAAUACGAAGGGUGCAAGCGUUAAUCGGAAUUACUGGGCGUAAAGCGCGCGUAGGCGGUGAGUUAAGUCUGCUGUGAAAUCCCCGGGCUCAACCUGGGAAUGGCAGUGGAUACUGGCUCGCUAGAGUGUGUCAGAGGAUGGUGGAAUUCCCGGUGUAGCGGUGAAAUGCGUAGAGAUCGGGAGGAACAUCAGUGGCGAAGGCGGCCGUCUGGGACAACACUGACGCUGAGGCACGAAAGCGUGGGGAGCAAACAGGAUUAGAUACCCCGGUAGUCCCUGUCUCUUAUAC